UAUUUUUCACGUGAAACCAAAGAAAGAAAAAGAAACCCUCCAUCCUUCUUCCAAUCUCACGCACGACAACACAGCUGUGCCCUCCUCUCCACCUUGCUCUUCGCGGCGCCGUCCCAGCCGCCACAGCCACCGGCGAUAACGCCGCCACCGUGAGCUCGCCGCCGUCGAUACUCCGCCGCCGCCAGCACAUCCCUGACCACCGUCCCGCCACCACCACCGCGUGCCGCCACCGCACGCAACUUCUUGCUCAGCCUUGCCGCGAACCACCGUCCGUCCGCCGGCCAACUCUUCUCUCUCCUCCUUAAUUCUUGGUUAUUUCUUAAACCGCGGAGAAUUCUCUUUAGGCGACUUUUGAAAGUGUUAAAGUGGCCUAUCAGUUUGUUUACACAAGGUACGUACAUACCUGUGUGCUUGGAAUGUGUGUUAAUUGUUGAAACCAUGUUGAAUUGUUGAUAAACUUGGUUAUGUUGAUGUUGUUGAUGAACUUAGUCAGGUUGAAAUUGCAUGUUUAAUACUGUUGGAUGAACAUAUUGAACUUAUAUUGCAUUUUGAGGAUUAUAACAUGUUAGUAUGGAUGAUUGAUGCAAACAUGUUUGAUUGGGAACACUAGAUUACUUAGUAUAUAAUUCAGAUCAGUUGAUUGUUGUUCCCUUUUAGCUUUUCACUACUUUAUGAGGGCGGAGGACCUUGUUUAGUAAGUUGAAACCUUAUACCCAUAUACAGGGGUUGAUCAGUAUUAAAGGAAAGAUUGGAGUUAAUUGGAAUGAGUCUUGUUCGAUGCCUUUGUUAGCACUUACUUAAUUCCAAGAUAAAAACAGUUGUAAAUAAAAGUGAGUUGUAUGCCUUAUGUGAUUGUUGAGUCAUAACAGGGUGUCAAUUUGUAAAUCAUGUAAAGUGAAACUGAGUAGCAAUAGCUUUAGACUGUGCAUGUCUAAAGUGACGGACAAACAGGAGUUGGGGUUCAUGGUGGUAGCCCAUGGCCUUUCAUUCGGACCGGAUUGAUCACCGCGUCCUAUUUUUAGUCAAACGUUCCUCGAUAUCGCAGGUCACUGAGGUUACGGAGUCGCGCCCGUACCUCGUCUUCCUUAGUGAAGACUUCUAGCUAGAAAACUCGGUCCAUUGUCAUUUUAAAUUAAAAUAAUAUUAUUGUUAUAAAGGUCUAGUCCAGUCAAGUAUAGCUUUCAAGUCAGUAUGUUUUGGUUUUCCUUGCUUAUGUUUUAUUUAGUAUCAUGUUAGGAUUGUUCGGUUAAUAUAAUCAUGUUAGGAUUAUCAUUUAUUUAGUAUGUAGUACUCAGCUUUGCUGAUUACGUGCUUUUGCUUGUGCAUGUUGAUCAUGGCUAUGCCUUAUUGAUCCUGUGAUGACCCAAUCUUUGGUGAGCAAUCUCUAAGGAUCAAUAACUAUUGUCCAUCUGCAGGUUUGAAGAUGUUGCAUCAUUGGGAUCGGGAAUAGAGAGCUUGUAUUUAGUUUUGAUUUGCUAAGUUGACUUGGGUUUGUUUAAUUGGACUUUAAACUUGUUAGUUGAUCUUAUUUUUGUUGAUUGGUUUUUGGAUUAACUAUGUAAUCGAUUAUUUAUAAACCUAAGGUUAUUUAUUAUGUUUUCUGCUGCAAAAUUCUGAAUAAGCCGUUACGUUUUCACA